CGCACGGGUGAGUAACACGUAUCCAACCUGCCGUCUACUCUUGGCCAGCCUUCUGAAAGGAAGAUUAAUCCAGGAUGGCAUCAUGAGUUCACAUGUCCGCAUGAUUAAAGGUAUUUUCCGGUAGACGAUGGGGAUGCGUUCCAUUAGAUAGUAGGCGGGGUAACGGCUCACCAAACCUUCGAUGGAUAGGGGUUCUGAGAGGAAGGUCCCCCACAUUGGAACUGAGACACGGUCCAA
rnacentral:rRNA from 1 species